UUUUUAGAAGGUAGAGUUUGUGAAGAUGAGAAUAUGUCUGGGGUUACAGAUGGUUGAAUUUGUGAUGUUGGUGACAGUGGCAGCAGCAGCUGUGAAGGUUCAGAUGGCGGCUGUUUUGAAGGUUGAGAUGCAUUGUUGUUCAUCGACUCUUUGUUAUCAAACGUAUCCCAAAAGAUUGAGAAUAUGUCUGCUUUUUCUCCCCGAUGAUCAGGGGUUACAGAUGGUUGAAUUUGUGAUGUUGGUGACAGUGGCAGCAGCAGCUGUGAAGGUUCAGAUGGCGGCUGUUUUGAAGGUUGAGAUGCAUUGUUGUUCAUCGACUCUUUGUUAUCAAACGUAUCCCAAAAGAUUGAGAAUAUGUCUGCUUUUUCUCCCCGAUGAUCAGGGGUUACAGAUGGUUGAAUUUGUGAUGUUGGUGACAGUGGCAGCAGCAGCUGUGAAGGUUCAGAUGGCGGCUGUUUUGAAGGUUGAGAUGCAUUGUUGUUCAUCGACUCUUUGUUAUCAAACGUAUCCCAAAAGGUUGAGAAUAUGUCUGCUUUUUCUCCCCGAUGAUCAGGGGUUACAGAUGGUUGAAUUUGUGAUGUUGGUGACAGUGGCAGCAGCAGCUGUGAAGGUUCAGAUGGCGGCUGUUUUGAAGGUUGAGAUGCAUUGUUGUUCAUCGACUCUUUGUUAUCAAACGUAUCCCAAAAGGUUGAGAAUAUGUCUGGUUUUUCUCCCUGAUGAUCAGGGGUUAC
rnacentral:lncRNA from 1 species